UAAAAAAAAAACUUAAUAAAACAAAUGGAACCAAAUCCCAAUCAUAUUAAAACUAGUCAUCUUAACACCAGACCUGAUCCUUGUUCAAACCUUCACAAAUAAACACAACUCAAUGUUUUUGUGGGGUCACAGAUAUAAAUCGCCAAUGUAAAUCAACACUGGAGAGGGCUCUAAAAAGUAGGUCGCCAAACUGGUCAAUGUAUACUGAUGGUUAAAAAUGCAACCGACCGACUCCAUUGCACAACCGAGUCCAUCUGCAAGAAAAUCAUUACCUUGAGGAAUCUGUGCUGGACAGAAAUGACAACAACAAAUGUAACAUUAAGCGUGUGGGACUUCAAGACAUGCACACUGCAAAUUAUCUUCAACUCCAAACCAACAUCAUAUACUGAAAACACAUCUGCCAUUUUUUUCCCUUUUCACACCAAGUGCCCAGUUUAGUCAUACAAAAGCCACUUGUUCUGGUAGGCAAAUGGAUGCGUGUCGUUAAAGCUGCAGACACGUGGCUUGCACGGCCUCAUGGGAAACGGAUGGCAUCAGAUCUAUGUGCAUCUGCAAGAACACUUUUUCAUCACUUUCAUAUCUCCGAAGCUUCAAAAAGACCACAGCGUGACGCAAAACAGGAAGCUUAAUAUUUUAAUAACCCUAAACAUAUUGCGGAGGAUUAUUUAUACACGAGUGUUUGGGUUUCACUAAUCAGAUCAUGACGUCAUUUAAACCUCAUGUCACAUAUAAAAGGCUGCGCGUUUGUUUGUUUGCUACUAAUUCUGCUGUGAAAUCUUGCAUUCGAUGAAGCGCUUACAGCACGAUGGCGAUGUAUUGGAUUGUCUGGGCUGGUGAAAAACAUGUCUGUUCUUGCCAUGGUGCGGUGACUAUCCUCGCGGGGCUUUCUGAAGAAGAGUCGUCUGAUGUAAUGACCGCCCUGAGGGUGCAGACCGAGCAAGACAAUAGGAGGCAUCGCUGGCGCUAUACAACACAGCAUGGUGGCAAUACAACCCAAACUGGAUCGGUACAUUCAGCUGUCCAACAAUACGGGCGACCCGCUGGCCCGAAAGAAUUGGGGUGGUCACCUGACCAGCUGCAAACUCACACUUUCAGUUUUCUGUCAUCAAUGCUACUUGUGGACUUUUCCAAGGUGUCGAAUGUUUUUCCCACAGCUCUCAAUCAAGCUUGGAUUUUGGCCCUUCUUCAGAAAAAGUGUGGGCACCCCUGCUAUACAUCAUUAGAAAGCUCAUGGAUUCAAUAUUUGCACAAUGUUCUACAAGUUAUAUUUUGCUGUGAGAGAAAUGUUCUAAUCACAAAUAUUUGCAGCAAAACAUAAAUAAGAUCUAUAAGUAAACAAAGUCGUCCUUUACUAUAAAAUCAGUACACUCUGACAAGCAAACUUUGUUUUUAGGCUAUAUAUUUAAACACUUUUAGAAUAUUUUCUUUUAAAGAUCUGUAUUUAUAUAUUUAGAUGUUAGCUUUAAGGUCUAAAGUCUACAUUGUAAAAGCGCUAUAGACGUAAAGAUUAAUUGAAUAUCUAUAAGCUAGAGUGCUCCAGAACAGUGAAAAAAUUGGUAUUAAAAAACAUAAAACUGA